AGCGUAGUUCAGUGGUAGAACACGACCUUGCCAAGGUUGAUAUGCGGGUUCGAUUCCCGUCGCU
rnacentral:tRNA from 1 species